AUGGUGACGAGCCCUGAGAAGAGGAGUAGAAAGAGACAGAGGAGUAGAAAGAGACAGAGGAGUAGAAAGAGACAGAGGAGUAGAAAGAGACAGAGGAGUAGAAAGAGACAGAGGAGUAGAAAGAGACAGAGGAGUAGACAGAGACAGAGGAGUAGAAAGAGACAGAGGAGUAGAAAGAGACAGAGGAGUAGAAAGAGACAGAGGAGUAGAAAGAGACAGAGGAGUAGACGGAGACAGAGGAGUAGAAAGAGACAGAGGAGUAGACAGAGACAGAGGAGUAGAAAGAGACAGAGGAGUAGAAAGAGACAGAGGAGGAGAAAGAGACAGAGGAGUAGAAAGAGACAGAGGAGUAGAAAGAGACAGAGGAGUAGAAAGAGACAGAGGAGGAGAAAGAGACAGAGGAGGAGAAAGAGACAGAGGAGGAGAAAGAGACAGAGGAGUAGAAAGAGACAGAGGAGUAGACCGAGACAGAGGAGUAGAAAGAGACAGAGGAGUAGAAAGAGACAGAGGAGGAGAAAGAGACAGAGGAGUAGAAAGAGACAGAGGAGUAGAAAGAGACAGAGGAGUAGAAAGAGACAGAGGAGGAGAAAGAGACAGAGGAGGAGAAAGAGACAGAGGAGGAGAAAGAGACAGAGGAGUAGACCGAGACAGAGGAGUAGAAAGAGACAGAGGAGGAGAAAGAAACAGAGGAGUAGAAAUAGACAGAGUAGAAAGAGACAGAGGAGUAGAAAGAGACAGAGGAGAAACAGACAGAGGAGUAGAAAGAGACAGAGGAGGAGAAAGAGACAGAGGAGUAGAAAGAGACAGAGGAGUAGAAAGAGACAGAGGAGUAGAAAGAGACAGAGGAGUAGAAAGAGACAGAGGAGUAGAAAGAGACAGAGGAGGAGAAAGAAACAGAGGAGUAGAAAUAGACAGAGGAGUAGAAAGAGACAGAGGAGUAGAAAGAGACAGAGGAGAAAGAGACAGAGGAGUAGAAAGAGACAGAGGAGUAGACAGAGACAGAGGAGUAGAAAGAGACAGAGGAGUAGACAGAGACAGAGUAGAAAGAGACAGAGGAGUAGAAAGAGACAGAGGAGUAGACAGAGACAGAGGAGUAGAAAGAGACAGAGGAGUAGAAAGAGACAGAGGAGGAGAAAGAAACAGAGGAGUAGAAAUAGACAGAGGAGUAGAAAGAGACAGAGGAGGAGAAAGAAACAGAGGAGUAGAAAUAGACAGAGGAGUAGAAAGAGACAGAGCAGGAACCAUAGAUGUCUGUGA
rnacentral:lncRNA from 1 species